rnacentral:lncRNA from 1 species
GAAGUAGACUGCUUUAAAUGAAAACGUUGUCCAAGCAUGAUGAGAGCUAUUUGCAAUUUGCAUCUCACUUCCUUUGCAUCUCUUUGAAGGCAUGAGAUCCUUCUGGGCUAAAUGAGAGCCAAAAGCUGAAUGUGAGCCUAUAGUCCUCAUUCAGGAUGAGAGUAUGAUGAUUCUACUCUUAUCAGAAAGUGAUGUUUAACUGAGCUUUCUUUGUGACAGGUCUCGCUUCUGGAGAACAUCUUGUCCUACAUCUUACAGACAGAAGUAAUUCCAUCAGCUAAUGCUAAACUCUCCAAAGGAUUCCCUCUUCCCAAUUUGGCCAACAUUACUUUGACAAGACCUCGUAUUACAAUUGUACAGGGCUAUGUGUUGAUUUCUGCGGAUGUUCACUACAACCAUUAAAGAAGAGCGACCACUUGUUGGACAUGGAUUCAAAUCAAUAAUGUGACUCUGAAGGCUGAGCAACUGUGGCCACUGUGCAAUUCUCCUGGAACACCUCACCUGAGUGCUGAUGAGCAGUGGCCUGGUUUGGUGGGGUGGGAAGGGGUGCUCAGAAACCUGAAGAAAUGGUGAGGCUUCACAAGGGUGAUAACAAGCAGACUCGGGGGAAGCAAGACGCAUGCUUGGCAUUAUUUAUUCUGGAGUUUAUCUGAUGUAAAACUGUUUUUAAAAAGAUGAAUGCCUCUCUUGAAAUAAAGCCUUAUCUACACCCUUCC